GUGCCAGCAGCCGCGGUAAUACGGGGGGAGCGAGCGUUGUUCGGAAUCACUGGGCGUAAAGGGCGCGUAGGCGGUUGAGUAAGUCAGAGGUGAAAUGCCAAGGCUUAACCUCGGAAUUGCCUUUGAUACUGCUUGGCUGGAGGACGGAAGAGGAUAGUGGAAUUCCUGGUGUAGCGGUGAAAUGCGUAGAUAUCAGGAAGAACACCGGUGGCGAAGGCGGCUAUCUGGUCCGUUUCUGACGCUGAUGCGCGAAAGCCAGGGGAGCAAACGGGAUUAGAUACCCCCGUAGUCC
rnacentral:rRNA from 1 species